rnacentral:rRNA from 1 species
AUACGUAGGGUGCAAGCGUUAAUCGGAAUUACUGGGCGUAAAGCGUGCGCAGGCGGUUCGGAAAGAAGGAUGUGAAAUCCCAGGGCUCAACCUUGGAACUGCAUUCUUAACUACCGAACUAGAGUAUGUCAGUGGGUGGUAGAAUUCCGCGUUUAGCAGUGAAAUGCGUAGAUAUGCGGAGGAAUACCGAUGGCGAAGGCAGCCCCCUGGGAUAAUACUGACGCUCAUGCACGAAAGCGUGGGUAGCAAACAGGAUUAGAUACCCUGGUAGUCCACGCCCUAAACGAUGUCAACUAGCUGUUGGGCCCUUCGGGGCUUAGUAGCGUAGCUAACGCGUGAAGUUGACCGCCUGGGGAGUACGGUCGCAAGAUUAAAACUCAAAGGAAUUGACGGGG